UGUGGGGGGAGCUGUCGAAGGUGGGAUCGGCGAUUGGGACGAAGUCGUAACAAGGUAGCCGUACCGGAAGGUGCGGCUGGAUCACCUCCUUUCUAAGGAG
rnacentral:rRNA from 1 species